rnacentral:sRNA from 1 species
GCGGAGGAAAAGAAACCAACAGGGAUUGCCCUAGUAACGGCGAGUGAAGCGGCAACAGCUCAAAUUUGAAAUCUGGCGUCUUCGGCGUCCGAGUUGUAAUUUGCAGAGGGCGCUUUGGCAUUGGCAGCGGUCCAAGUUCCUUGGAACAGGACGUCACAGAGGGUGAGAAUCCCGUACGUGGUCGCUAGCCUUUACCGUGUAAAGCCCCUUCGACGAGUCGAGUUGUUUGGGAAUGCAGCUCUAAAUGGGAGGUAAAUUUCUUCUAAAGCUAAAUACUGGCCAGAGACCGAUAGCGCACAAGUAGAGUGAUCGAAAGAUGAAAAGCACUUUGGAAAGAGAGUUAAAAAGCACGUGAAAUUGUUGAAAGGGAAGCGCUUGCAGCCAGACUUGCCUGUAGUUGCUCAUCCGGGUUUCUACCCGGUGCACUCUUCUAUAGGCAGGCCAGCAUCAGUUUGGGCGGUUGGAUAAAGGUCUCUGUCAUGUACCUCCUUUCGGGGAGAACUUAUAGGGGAGACGACAUGCAACCAGCCCGGACUGAGGUCCGCGCAUCUGCUAGGAUGCUGGCGUAAUGGCUGUAAGCGGCCCGUCUUGAAACACGGACCAAGGAGUCUAACAUCUAUGCGAGUGUUUGGGUGUCAAGCCCGAACGCGUAAUGAAAGUGAACGGAGGUGGGAACCUUUCGGGGUGCACCAUCGACCGAUCCUGAUGUCUUCGGAUGGAUUUGAGUAAGAGCAUAGCUGUUGGGACCCGAAAGAUGGUGAACUAUGCUUGAAUAGGGUGAAGCCAGAGGAAACUCUGGUGGAGGCUCGCAGCGGUUCUGACGUGCAAAUCGAUCGUCAAAUUUGGGCAUAGGGGCGAAAGACUAAUCGAACUAUCUAGUAGCUGGUUCCUGCCGAAU